rnacentral:rRNA from 1 species
AUGAACCCAUCCUCGGCGCCGGGUCCGGACGGUCUCCCGGUUAAAUUUUUCCAGACCUUCUAGAACGUGGUUAAACCGGAGGCCAUGGCCAUCUUCGAAGAGUUCUACGUGGGUUCCAUCGAUCUAGGACGCCUAAACUUUGGGAUCAUCUCUCUCAUUCCCAAGGUUCCCGGCGCUUCCGACAUCCGCCAAUUUCGCCCGAUCACGGUCAUUAACGUGAUUUUUCGGAUCCUUGCGAAAGGGUAUGCCAAUAGGGUGACCCUUCUUGCUAACCGCGUUACCCACCCCAACCAGUCCGCCUUCAUUCAGGGCUGGUAUAUCUUGGAUGGGGUCAUGGUUCUUCAUGAAGUCCUCCAUGAGGUCCGCGUCAAACACCUCAAGGCGGUUUUCCAGAAGAUUGAUUUCCAUAAGUCCUAUGAUACGGUUAGCUGGUCCUUCCUUCGGGAAGUCCUGCUUCGGAAGGGCUUCUCUGACCGUUGGAUCACUAGAGUCAUGUAG